AGAAUGAACGUUGGCGGUGUGCUUAACACAUGCAAGUCGAACGAGAAAGUUCUUCGGAAUGAGUAUAGUGGCGAACGGGUGAGUAACGCGUGAGGAUCUCCCCUUCAGUGAAGGAUACCCUUGAGAAAAUUAAGGUUAAUACUGCAUACGUCCCAUAGAAAUAUGGGAGAAAGAUGGCCUCUUGCUGUCGCUGAAAGAUGAACUUGCGUUCUAUUAGCUAGUUGGUGGGGUAAAGGCUCACCAAGGCGAUGAUGGAUAGCCGGCCUGAGAGGGUGAACGGCCACAUUGGAACUGAAACACGGUCCAGACUCCUACGGAGGCAGCAGUGGGGAAUUUUGCGCAAUGGGGGAAACCCUGACGCAGCAACGCCGCGUGGAGGAUGAAGUCCUUCGGGACGUAAACUCCUUUCGAUCGGGACGAUUAUGACGGUACCGGAAGAAGAAGCCCGGCUAACUUCGUGCCAGCAGCCGC
rnacentral:rRNA from 1 species